AAUCAAGGUGGCAAAAUCAGAAAAUCCAAAUUUUUCAGCUGUUGGGCAGAAUUUUUUAAUUUUUGAGGGCUGAAAUGAAAGUUCAGAAUCUACGGAAUCAAUUAAGCAAGGUACUUCAAGGUCAUUGUAAUCAAGUUGUUAAACUUAUUUUUACGUAUACUAUAAUAUCGCAUUAUGCAAAAUAUAUGUUGACAUACAAACAAAUUUUAAUGAAACGUUUGAAACACUAUCAAGAUGACCUUCACAGGCCUUUCUUUCAUCACAACCAAAUGCACAUCUCGAAAACAUUUAAGUCCUCUUUUAGUCCAAUAAUGUUGGAAAUAAUUUAAAUGUUCAAUUUAAAAUUAACACUCUAUAUACUUAAUAAUACACAAAAUAUUUUUGUUUUUGCGCAACAUUAUCAGAUAGAUAAGUUUUACAUUUAUUUACAUAUUUAAAAUAUCAUAUUAGGACCAAAUUACAAAAGUUAUUAAAAUAAAUUUGAAGAGGAGUUUUUUGGUAACGAUAAUGAAACUGUAUUUCAAAUGUGUUGAAUUUGUCUAUUAACACAGACAAAAUAUAACAUAUAAAUUAUUGAAACUAAUCUUCAUAUUAUAUUCAAGUAUAAAAAAGUUAAAGCAAUAAUAACAAAUUAAAUCUAUUUAGAUCCUGACUUUCUGAUGCUUUUAUUAAUACCUUAUGAUGUAAGUUUAAAAUGUAUAGAGUAAUACAUGAUAAAAAUUUAAAAUUAUAGGAAAAUAAAGAAUGCUAGAAUUUGUUUGUGCAGGUAAAACAAUGUAAAAGAAUUACAAGAUAAUUUACAAUUUAUAAGUAUUUUAAUGCAAUAAUAAUAUAAUAAUAAUAAUCAAUAAUAUCAACUAAUAAUGUUAUUAAAUACUUUAUACAUGUACAUAGUAAUGUAUUUAUAAUUAUUCGCAUUUUAUCAUUAAGGAAUUAUUAGUAUUUAAUAGUAGCAAAGAUUUUAUGUAAACAGGUAAGUCUUUUCGCACGAUCAGUCCUUUGUUACAAAAAGUAGUACAUUUUGUUACUCCAACUGUGUUUUCUAAUUUGAAAGUAUCACUGAGAAACCAAUAUUAGUAUUAAUUAAACAGCAGUAAAAUAUUUUUUAUAAUAUUUCACCCAUGCAUGAUUCUAUAUAUUUAGUUAUUAUAAAUUCAUUUGAGAAAGUGUUUUACAUUAGUUAUAGUUUUUUCUUAUCUAUGAAUAUUGAUAAUUUUGAAGUUACCAAUCAUGUUCAGGAUUGUACAAAUAGUAUACAAAUCUUUGUUUACUUUCUUAUUUCUAUUUCUAAAUUCCAUUAUAAUCAAAAGAGGAACUUGAUUGUUCAUUUAGGCAAGUAUAGCACCAAGAGGUAAAUAUUGUUUUCCAAAGCAAAUGUUGUUAGUAAAUAAUGUGGAAAAGUCAACAGGAUAGAUACAAAUUCAUAAUUUUGUUCUUGUGUUUAUGCAGUUUUACAUAAUAAUGAAAAGCAUCAUUAUAUAUACAUAUAUGUAUACUGAUUGUAUAAAUGAUAUGGACAUUAAUUUUUCAAUUUCGUGAUUUUUCUAUAAUAAGUAAAUACUAUUUUAUAAAUUAAUCCCUACUAAAAGGAAGUCUUACUGUAAAGAAAGUAAAAGGAUUUAAUUUUUCUCUCUUACAAAAGAUUCAGAACGUGAUUUAUGAUGCUUAAUGCAUUAAAAGUAGGUACAUUUUAAUUAUAUUUCAUGAAUUAUUACUUAGAAUGAUUUGGUUGUAAACAAUUCUUUGAAUUCUAUUACAAGUUCGUUAUUAGUAACAUGUAUUUAAAAAUUCUUAAAUAAUUUUUGUAAACACACUUUUAUGAUUCUUUAUGUUAGAUUUUAUGUCGAAUUAAAUGCUUGUGCUUUUCAAGUUAUUAAGAAGAAGGUAAAAAGAUCAGAAAAAACAAGGGUUAAAUAAUUAAAUAAAGUAUCGACAAAAGAAUUGAAAUGAAACUAUGAACUAAUACACUGUAUUAAUGUGAUUUAUAAAUUUUAAUAACUUAAUUGUUUUUCUAUCUUUUAAAAGUUAAAUACAGUUAACUAUAUAUUAAGAAUAAAGUUUUUAAUAAAUUUGUUGGUCAAAAUUUAAUUAUUUUCAUAUUGUUAUUGUAAACUAUUAGUAAGAAUGUAGAAUAGAAUUAUUCUUAGCAUUAUAUGAAAUUCUGCUAUUUCCUUUUUGUUUUACUAACUUUAGUAACUUUUUGAAUUGACUUUACAUUGGUUUAAGUUAUUGUAAUUGUUGUAAAAUUACUAUAAAUUAUAAAAAUAAUACUUCAAGGCUGCAAUAAUUUUAAUAAUAAUAAUCAUAGUCAUGAUAAUAAUAAUAAUAAACAUUAGGAUGCAAACACAUUUGCCUUAUGUUUUGUAUCAUAACAGAAAUAAUAUGAUAUAUUAUGUUAAUAAUUACCAUUAGGUGCUUUUCGUUUAAUUGAUACAAUUUAGAAAUCAAUCAGCAUUUCCGCCACUGGAUCGAAUAUCCUGAACAUUUGGUCACGAAAUACAAGGCAAGUAUGUAAAAGCGUAUUAUUCAAUGAUAACUAGUUGAAAAUCGUUAUUUUCCAUUAAUAUAUGCUUUGCAUUUUUUUAUAUACUUUGAAAUAUCGACGCAUCUUCUGAUCAUAUAUCUUUAUAUAAAUGCAAAUUAUAUUUCAUGACUAUUGAAUUAUUAUAGUAACACAGUUGGUUCCAAAUAUGCCGUAGCAGAUCACAAAAGGUAGUUUCUUGAAACGAACGACUAAGUUGCGCUAAACGUAUACAACACAUUUACGUAAAUGUUUCUGUAUAAAAUGCACUAGUAAUAAGUAUUUCAAAGAGUUGACUUGUCUCCUAAAAAGCAUCUUAAGGAAAGAUUUUCAGUAUACAAAUCGAUGUAUAUAAAACAAUAUGUUAUAGAAAUCGAUAUCAUUCAAGACAUGAUGUAACAACUUUUAUACAAUAAGUAUUAUUAGAGUACUAUAACAGUGUAGAUUUUAAAAUAAUUCACAGUAAAAGAAUUCUUCAAUAAUCAUAUAAAGCUCCUAUUUAAAUUAUUAAUCUAUGUAUUUGUGUGUGUAUAGUAUAUGAGAGAGAGAGAGAGAGAGAGAGAGAGAGAGAGAGAGAGAGAGAGAGAGAGAUUAAAUUUGAGUUAUAGCAAUCUCUAGAAUUCUCUUUUUGAACAGAU